rnacentral:rRNA from 1 species
CCCUUAGAUGUUCUGGGCUGCACGCGCGCUACACUGAUGCAUUCAACGAGCACCCGCUGGGCCGAGAGGUCCGGCUAAUCUUUGAACGUGCAUCGUGCUGGGGAUAGAUGAUUGCAAUUAUUCAUCUUCAACGAGGAAUUCCUAGUAAACGCAAGUCAUCAGCUUGCAUUGAUUACGUCCCUGCCCUUUGUACACACCGCCCGUCGCACCUACCGAUUGAAUGGUCCGGUGAAAUUCUCGGACGCGGACUAGCGAUGUUAAUUCGGAGCUUGACUGUGAAAGUUAAUUAAACCUUACCAUUUAGAGGAAGGUGAAGUCGUANCA